rnacentral:rRNA from 1 species
AAGCGUUAGCGGCGGACGGGGGAGUAACACGUGGGCAACCUGCCCUGUAAACGGGGAUAACACCGAGAAAUCAGUGCUAAUACCGGAUAACACCAAAGACCGCAUGGCUUUUCGUUGAAAGGCGGCCCAAGCUGUCGCUACGGGAUGGGCCCGCGGCGCAUUAGCUAGUUGGCGAGGCAACGGCUCACCAAGGGGACGAUGCGUAGCCGACCUGAGAGGGUGAUCGGGCACACUGGGACUGAUACACGGCCCACACUCCUACGGGAGGCGGCAGUACGGAAGCUUCCGCAAUGGACUAAAGUCUGACGGAGCAACGCCGCGUGAGCGAAGAAGGACUUCGGCUCGCAAAGCUCUGUUGUAAGGGAAGAACAACUACCGCACUCUGUGGUGGAACCUUGACGAAAACUAACGAGAAAGCCACGGCUAACUACGUGCCAGCAGCCGCGCUAAUACGGAGGUGGCAAGCGUUGUCCGGAAUUAUUGGGGGUAAAGCGCGCGCGCGCGGCUCCUUAAAUCUGAUGGAAAAGCCCACGGGUCAACCGAGUACGCACAUUGGAAACUGGGGGACUUGAGUGCAGAAGAGGAGAGCGGAAUUCCACGUGUAGCGGUGAAAUGCGUAGAGAUGUGGAGGAGCAUCAGUGGCGAAGGCGUCUCUAUGGUCUGUAACUGACGCUGAGGCGCGAAAGUGUGGUGAGCAAACAGGAUUAGAUACUCUGGUAGUACACUCAGUAAACGAUGAGUGGUAAGUGUUAGAGGGUAUCACUCCUUUAGUGCUGUAGCUAACUCAUUUAGCACUCCGCAUGGGGAGUACGCUCGCAAGAGUGAAACUCAAAGGAAUUGACGGGGGCCCGCACAAGCGGUGGAGCAUGUGGUUUUAUUGGAAGCAACGCGAAGAACCUUACCAGGUCUUGACAUCCCUUGACAACCCGAGAGAUCGGGCGUUCCCCCUUCGGGGGGACAGGGUGUACAGGUGGUGCAUGUUUGUCGUCAGCUCGUGUCGUGAGAUGUUGGGUUAAGUCCCGCAACGAGCGCAACCCUAGACUUUUGUUGCCAGCAUUCAGUUGGGCUCUGUAAGGUGAUUCCCGGUUAAAAGUUGGAGGAAGGUGGGGAUGAUGUCAAAUCAUCAUGCCCCUUAUUACCUGGGUUACACUUGUGCUUCAAUGGGCGGUUCAAAGUGUUGGUAACCCGGGAGGGGGAGCCAAUCCCAAAAA